UCUGCAGUCCUAAUCUGUGAGAAAGAAAGCUCUUUUGAUCUGUUAUUUCACAUCAACAUUUUACUGAUAUUGCAAGAAACACUAUCCUCUAAUUUUUAGGCACUGCUAUCCAGUACCUCACCUAAGUGCUUUGCUCUGCAAUCUGUGUUUGCUCAGAAGACUCCCUGCUGGUUCUACUCCCUACCUAGUUCUGCCCUUUAUGCCGGUGCCCUAAGGGGUGGUGCCAAGACUGCCUCUAUCAAAUCAGCUGGGUGCUUGCUAAAGUUCAAAUUUGGGUUUUCUCUUUAGAGAUACUGUACAUCUGGUGAUGGCACCCAGUUAUCUGGAUAUUAAUGAAUUUCCCAAGUGUUUUGUAGGUGAACUUAAAUGGAAGCAGCAGCGCUCUAUGCCUUAUGCCCACCAUUCUUUCCUUCUAGAAUGUCCUCUCACUCUUUCUAGCUAACUGUUUGAGUUGCUUGAAGACUGUCAGUUCAUCUGGUGCAGGUGCAAUUAUCUCUGUAAUCCCCAUAGUGCUGGCUUUGGUGCUUUGCACAUAUACACACACAGUGCAUGCUCAAUGAAUAAAUGACUGGUCCACUCUCUAGAGCCAGAAAUACAGAGAGGGCUGUGCUUCACUCAGAAACACAUUUCUUAAGGUGAAACGUCAACAAGCUAGUGUGGAAAAUAUUUUUAGGUAGUAAAUCGUUUUCGGUGACCCAGAUAUAAAGGCACGCAUAUGACCUCAUUUUUUGCUACCAGUGUGUAAGGUUGGACAUCAGAGGCUGCUCUUUCUCUUCAGGGUGGAUGGUGAACAAAUUAUUAUCUGAAAUAGUUAUUGUUGUCCAUCAUGAGGCCUCUGAAAGAUUUGCAGGGUACAAUCAAGGUGCUCCAAGGCCUUGCUUCCAGGAGUUCACUACGCUUACAAACCUUAGGUGGUGGAACAGUAGGCUGAGCAAUCUGCGGUUUCUAGAAACCUGGUUGUAUUAAUCCAGGAGCUCAGGUGCAUUAACCUGGGAACGAGGCAGUCUGCUCUGAGGGUGUCAAGGUGCAUCCAUGAUCUAUCUCACUGUCUGAAUGCCUGGAAAGCCUCUCCUUUACUGUGAUUCUCUAGUAAUGAAAGAGUUCUGUUCCAGAAAGGAGAUUCACACUUGACUUUUGUAAUACCUCAGUAGAAUGUGAGCUUCUUGGAGGAUAUUAUCUUAUUCAUCUUUUUAACACAAUAUCUGGCAUAUGGGAGUGGCUAAGAAAAGCUUGGCAGACAAAACCAUGAAUGAAUGUGUUGUUUUCCUGUAGCUUUGGAUUACUUACUGGUUUAAAAAUUAAAAUAAAAUAGAAUAAAAUAAAAAGUAUUGGCCCUAGGACAGCAAAUUUGUGAGCUGCAUUGAAAUUCUUGAGAAAAUACUGGUUUAUUGUUAUUAAAGUAUUAACUUGUUGUGCUAAAAUUCAGUGUCAUUCUCCCCAGCUCCACCCAUCUUGUAUUUUAGUUUUGCCUGCUCACUGCUAGGAUUUCUUUCUCUAUUUUCUUUUUCUCCUGACCAAAUGGAAAAACCUUGAGAUUAUUACAUGGCUUUGGCGUGAUUUCAGACCUCAGAUUUUAGCUGAUGAUCCCCCAAAUGGAUCAUCUUUCCCUCGCUACGUGAGGAAUAAGAAGGCUUACGAAGCCCUUACUCCAGAGGGUGGGGAGGGACGAGACAGGAGAGGCAAGCAUGAAGGCUCUUGUUAAGAUAGUGCAAACAACGACAUACAUUUAUUCAGGGGGAAAGGAGGGCAGCAUGGAAAUGUUAUUCCUCACUAAGUAGGGAGUUCUUUGCUAACCAGAGAACAGUACUGUUCACCUAGGUAGUGAAACCAAACAAAAAAUGCUGCCAUUUUGGAAAGCACGAUGGUAUAAUUAAGACAAAGUGCCUGGAUUAAAAUCCCAGUUCACUUAUGUUUGUACAACUUCAGCUAGUUUACUUUUACAAAUCAUUUAUUUUUCUCAUUUGUAAAAUGAGAAUGAUAAUACCUCCUUGCAAUAUUGUCAGAAAGGUCAGGGACAGUGAAUGCAAAGCAGUCAGUAAAGCACCUGGGACAAAGCAUGUGCUCAGUCAGUGGUUUUGGUCAUUAUUGUCAGAAUUUGGCAUUUAUGACAAUAAGGGGGGCCCUUACUCCGCCCUUGGCACUGGCAAAAUGAAUCCAAGGACGGUCCUGGCCCAAGAUUAGCAGAGCAGCUUCCCUUUGAAUUCCUCUCUAUUUAUUUAGUAUUGAAAGACUCUCUUUAUUCUCCGGCUUUCUUUCUCUUAUAUUUCCAUGCCAGUGUGCAGAGUUAAUUUAUUUAAAUUUAAAUUCUUGAUGCACUUUCCCUUUUAUGAGGCAUCUGUAAUGGAGCUGAUUUUUGGUUGGUGCUUGACCAGAUGUCUUUUUAUUGUUCUGAAAGGAGAAGAGAUGCUUAAUUGAGGAUGUCCAAAAUAUCAGGACCCUCUCAACAGAGCAGAUGAACUUGGCAUUACAAAAGAAAUCAGCCAGCCAGGGCUCAUGUAGGAAGACCCAUCCCCAGGUGCCGGGGAAAGUGUCAGAGCCCCAGUUCCUCUAUGCUGGAGGCCAGUUCUUCCAGCCUGAGGUUCUCUGCCUAUGAGCCUGUAUCACAUUUCCUCUCCUCCACCCAAUACCGAUAUUGGCUUUUCAGUGUAGUGUGAUAUUGGCCUCUGCUCAUUUUAGGGUCAUCCGCUUCACACAGGGCACAUUUUUAAAUGCAAAUGCCUAGUCAGAGCUCCCAGAUUCUGAUUUACCUUCAGAGAUUUGGUGAAUCAGCACAUGACCCCAUGAGGACUAUUUUAUUCAUUCAAUAAGCAGGUGCCACGUAUCUUUUAUGUGCCAGAUUCUGCUCUAGGAACUGGAGAUCCAUCAAUGAACAAGAGAGACAAAAAUCUCCACCUAUACAGAGUUUAUGUCUAUCAGAGAAAGAAAGGCAAUAAAUAGAACCAUUACAUAAAUUAUAUUAACACAUAAACAGUAAUAAGUUCUACAUAGAAAAACAAAGUAGGAGAAAGGGCCAUGGAUGACAUCUCAUGACUUUUCAAUAACUUCUUCGCUAUUUUAAAUCUGAAACUCACCUUUCUGCUUUUGGCCACAUUGCCUGACCAUUACCCGAGGGGCUUCCUUUGAUGAAUGAGGUGACUGUUUUCUGACGUGGCACAGGAUUCUCUGACUGUAGUCUCAUACGUUCAACCGGUGUGAGCCCCUUAUAUGACCUCUCUCUGCCUGUACUCUAGAGGACCUGUCCCAAUUUACUAAGUAACAAAGAGGAAAUGCUCUCUUUGAGAAGAAAAAAGAAAAAGGUGAUAGCAGAGAGUCAACAUGGAGACAGAGCUCCCUAGUAACGUGUAGUCGUGGUCGGUUGGCCUGAGGUUGGGUGGUAUCAGGGCGGUAAUUUGCCCCCUAGAUGGAAGGUCAGAUAAGGAAAGUCGUCUUCUGGCAUCAUCUCUUUGUCUAAAAGCAUUUGAAAGUGCUUGUCUCAGGAGUGGAUGAGAACUUAUGGUUGCUUUAAAGUUGCCUUAGAAACAGAUUAAUUGCUUGGCUUUGAUGCUUUCAGUCAGCAAGAAUUACAUUGAAGGGAAUUCCAGGUCCUGAUGAGUCAAGGAGUUCCUCUGAAUAACCUCAGCUGCCAAUCAGUAGAAUGAGAUUAUGCUACCUUGUGCGCUGGACUGACAGGAAUGCCAAACGGAUUUUUUCUCUCCAAGUCAGGUCCUCCUUGGUGGUCAAAACUGGCUGUGGCUUCCCACAAGGAACCCAGAGCUCUGCUGCCUGACUACUCUUUAGGACUCCCUCUGCAGUGAGGGCUCUUCCUCACUCUUUAUGGAGGCAGUUUGAUAAAAAUCUGUCUUGCAGGUGUAUGGUUCAUUCCUUUGACCUCUCCUUUCAAUGCUGGGGUCUGGGCUUUUUCAGAUGAAUAUCUUUUCACCCUGCCUCAUCAAUGCCAUUCACAACUGUAAUCUCUAGGUGCUGGGGUUGUCUGUUUGUUUCAAAAUAAAUAGUGAGCAGAAGACAAUCUGGGUAUUCUUAAUACUGUGCUGAAAGCUCAUUUGGAUGAUGUAAUGGAUGUUGCUAAGCAAGAACUGGCCCGAGAUGUGAGAAUUGAUUUGAAGGCACCAUGAAAACCAGCCUACCCCUUGUUACAGGGUACAGUAGAUCAGGGCAGAAUGUAAAAAAGCCAAGUGGAUGGGGAUUCCUGGGUGGCUCAGUGGUUUAGUGCCUGCCUUUGGCCUAGGGCACGAUCCUGCACUCCCGGGAUCGAGUCCUGCGUCAGGCUCCCGGUAUGGAGCCUGCUUCUCCCUCUGCCUCUCUCUCUCUCUCUCUUUCUCUCUAUCAUGAAUUAAAAAAAAAAAAAAAA
rnacentral:lncRNA from 1 species